CCUGCCGGCGACCGGCGCACGGGUGAGUAACACGUAUGCAACCUGGCCGUGACAGAUGGAUAACCGGGAGAAAUCCCGCCUAAUACAACAUAAUGCCGGGAGGGGACAUCCCCUGCCGGCCAAAGGGGCGACCCCGGUCACGGAUGGGCAUGCGGCGCAUUAGGUAGUUGGUGGGGCAACGGCCCACCAAGCCGACGAUGCGUAGGGGUUCUGAGAGGAAGGUCCCCCACAUUGGAACUGAGACACGGUCCAAACUCCUACGGAAGGCAGCAG
rnacentral:rRNA from 1 species